rnacentral:rRNA from 1 species
UGCGGAAGGAUCAUUACCGAGUGUAGGGUUCCUAGCGAGCCCAACCUCCCACCCGUGUUUACUGUACCUUAGUUGCUUCGGCGGGCCCGCCAUUCAUGGCCGCCGGGGGCUCUCAGCCCCGGGCCCGCGCCCGCCGGAGACACCACGAACUCUGUCUGAUCUAGUGAAGUCUGAGUUGAUUGUAUCGCAAUCAGUUAAAACUUUCAACAAUGGAUCUCUUGGUUCCGGCAUCGAUGAAGAACGCAGCGAAAUGCGAUAACUAGUGUGAAUUGCAGAAUUCCGUGAAUCAUCGAGUCUUUGAACGCACAUUGCGCCCCCUGGUAUUCCGGGGGGCAUGCCUGUCCGAGCGUCAUUGCUGCCCAUCAAGCACGGCUUGUGUGUUGGGUCGUCGUCCCCUCUCCGGGGGGGACGGGCCCCAAAGGCAGCGGCGGCACCGCGUCCGAUCCUCGAGCGUAUGGGGCUUUGUCACCCGCUCUGUAGGCCCGGCCGGCGCUUGCCGAACGCAAAUCAAUCUUUUUCCAGGUUGACCUCGGAUCAGGUAGGGAUACCCGCUGAACUUAAGCAUAUCAAUAAGCGG